CUACGGAAGGCAGCAGUGGGGAAUAUUGCACAAUGGGGGAAACCCUGAUGCAGCAACGCCGCGAGAGUGAUGACGGUCUUCGGAUUGUAAAGCUCUGUCUUCAGGGACGAUAAUGACGGUACCUGAGGAGGAAGCCACGGCUAACUACGUGCCAGCAGCCGCGGUAAUACGUAGGUGGCAAGCGUUGUCCGGAUUUACUGGGCGUAAAGGGAGCGUAGGUGGAUAUUUAAGUGGGAUGUGAAAUACUCGGGCUUAACCUGGGUGCUGCAUUCCAAACUGGAUAUCUAGAGUGCAGGAGAGGAAAGUAGAAUUCAUAGUGUAGCGGUGAAAUGCGUAGAGAUUAGGAAGAAUACCAGUGGCGAAGGCGACUUUCUGGACUGUAACUGACACUGAGGCUCGAAAGCGUGGGGAGCAAACAGGAUUAGAUACCCCGGUAGU
rnacentral:rRNA from 1 species